GACGAACGCUGGCGGCGUGCCUAAUACAUGCAAGUUGAGCGCUGAAGGUUGGUACUUGUACCAACUGGAUGAGCAGCGAACGGGUGAGUAACGCGUGGGGAAUCUGCCUUUGAGCGGGGGACAACAUUUGGAAACGAAUGCUAAUACCGCAUAAAAACUUUAAACACAAGUUUUAAGUUUGAAAGACGCAAUUGCAUCACUCAAAGAUGAUCCCGCGUUGUAUUAGCUAGUUGGUGAGGUAAAGGCUCACCAAGGCGAUGAUACAUAGCCGACCUGAGAGGGUGAUCGGCCACAUUGGGACUGAGACACGGCCCAAACUCCUACGGGAGGCAGCAGUAGGGAAUCUUCGGCAAUGGACGAAAGUCUGACCGAGCAACGCCGCGUGAGUGAAGAAGGGUUUCGGAUCGUAAAACUCUGUUGGUAGAGAAGAACGUUGGUGAGAGUGGAAAGCUCAUCAAGUGACGGUAACUACCCAGAAAGGGACGGCUAACUACGUG
rnacentral:rRNA from 1 species